UAGCAACAAACCAUGAAGACGUGAAGGACAUGGCAUACAACAAUUCCUGAGAUACACGAGGAAUUUUCAUUCAAAACGUCAUAAAAAGGGCAGGUGUGUCAGGUCUCGCCAUGGGGCUGUCCACCCCUGACGUUGCAGCUUGAAUCUUGGCCAUGAAGGAUUUUUGUUUAGCUACAAACUCCGGGUUGUCUCUGCUUCGGGUUGAUCUGGUGUUUGUCGGAGUGUUAGACGUUGAGCGGCUGUUCCGAGCACUGGAUUUGUCAGAGAUGGAGGGGGUUUCAGAGCCGGCUUCAGACAUGGCAUCACGCUCACUGCCAGCAUGUGAGUCAAUGUCACUGAGAUUCUCAUCUUCCUCAACAGGAUCCUGGGAGAUAGACAUGGAUUCAUCUUCUGGUGAGGUCUUGGUUUCUGCUGACAUGGUUACAUUGAGUUAUAGCUGCCUUUUAUAACCUGAAAGGAAUUCUAUCAUUAGUCAAACUCCAAAAUAUCCAAUGGUACAGAAAUAUACACAACAAUAAAAAAUUUUCCUAGUUUACUGUGACCACUAACACUCAAAUGAACUACUGUCCUAAUAAUAAAAGUAUCCCUUCUUAAA